rnacentral:rRNA from 1 species
UGGGGAAUAUUGCACAAUGGGCGCAAGCCUGAUGCAGCCAUGCCGCGUGUAUGAAGAAGGCCUUCGGGUUGUAAAGUACUUUCAGUCGGGAGGAAGGUGGUAAGGUUAAUAACCUUAUCAAUUGACGUUACCGACAGAAGAAGCACCGGCUAACUCCGUGCCAGCAGCCGCGGUAAUACGGAGGGUGCAAGCGUUAAUCGGAAUUACUGGGCGUAAAGCGCACGCAGGCGGUUGAUUGAGUCAGAUGUGAAAUCCCCGGGCUUAACCCGGGAAUUGCAUCUGGUACUGGUCAGCUAGAGUCUUGUAGAGGGGGGUAGAAUUCCAGGUGUAGCGGUGAAAUGCGUAGAGAUCUGGAGGAAUACCGGUGGCGAAGGCGGCCCCCUGGACGAAGACUGACGCUCAGGUGCGAAAGCGUGGGGAGCAAACAGG